CCUACGGGAGGCAGCAGUGAGGAAUAUUGGUCAAUGGAGGCAACUCUGAACCAGCCAUGCCGCGUGAAGGAUGACGGCCCUAUGGGUUGUAAACUUCUUUUGAAUAGGAAGAAACUUAUCUACGUGUAGAUAACUGACGGUACUAUUAGAAUAAGGAUCGGCUAACUCCGUGCCAGCAGCCGCGGUAAUACGGAGGAUCCAAGCGUUAUCCGGAUUCAUUGGGUUUAAAGGGUCCGUAGGCGGGUCUUUAAGUCAGUGGUGAAAGCCGACAGCUCAACUGUCGAACUGCCAUUGAUACUGGAGACCUUGAGUACAAAUGAAGUAGGCGGAAUGAGUCAUGUAGCGGUGAAAUGCAUAGAUAUGACUCAGAACACCGAUUGCGAAGGCAGCUUACUAACAUGUAACUGACGCUGAGGGACGAAAGCGUGGGGAGCGAACAGGAUUAGAUACCCUGGUAGUCCACGCCGUAAACGAUCAUCACUCGCUGUUGGCGAUAUACUGUCAGCGGCCAAGCGAAAGUAUUAAGUGAUGCACCUGGGGAGUACGCCGGCAACGGUGAAACUCAAAGGAAUUGACGG
rnacentral:rRNA from 2 species